rnacentral:rRNA from 1 species
UACGGAAGGCAGCAGUGGGGAAUAUUGCACAAUGGGCGCAAGCCUGAUGCAGCCAUGCCGCGUGUAUGAAGAAGGCCUUCGGGUUGUAAAGUACUUUCAGUCGUGAGGAAGGUGUUAAGGUUAAUAACCUUAGCAAUUGACGUUAGCGACAGGAGAAGCACCGGCUAACUCCGUGCCAGCAGCCGCGGUAAUACGGAGGGUGCGAGCGUUAAUCGGAAUUACUGGGCGUAAAGGGCACGCAGGCGGUUAAUUAAGUUGGAUGUGAAAUCCCCGGGCUUAACCUGGGAAUGGCAUUCAAGACUGGUUAGCUAGAGUCUUGUAGAGGGGGUAGAAUUCCAUGUGUAGCGGUGAAAUGCGUAGAGAUGUGGAGGAAUACCGGUGGCGAAGGCGGCCCCCUGGACAAAGGACUGACGCUCAUGUGCGAAAGCGUGGGGAGCAAAC